rnacentral:rRNA from 1 species
GCCCGCCGCGCGCGGCGGGCGGGGCGGGGGCACGGGGGGACUCCUACGGGAGGCAGCAGUGGGGAAUUUUGGACAAUGGGUGCAACCCUGAUCCAGCCAUGCCGCGUGAGUGAAGAAGGCCUUCGGGUUGUAAAGCUCUUUCAGUCGGAACGAAACGGUUCGCUCUAACAUAGCGUGCUAAUGACGGUACUGACAGAAGAAGCACCGGCUAACUACGUGCCAGCAGCCGCGGUAAU